GAUGAACGCUAGCUACAGGCUUAACACAUGCAAGUCGCGGGGCGGCAUGGGGGUUGCUUGCAAUCCCCGAUGGCGACCGGCGCACGGGUGAGUAACGCGUAUCCAACCUGCCCUUCACCACGGGAUAACCCGGCGAAAGUCGGACUAAUACCGUAUGUUGUCCAUUGACGGCAUCCGAUUUGGACGAAAGGUUUGGCGGUGAAGGAUGGGGAUGCGUCCGAUUAGCUGGACGGCGGGGUGACGGCCCACCGUGGCGACGAUCGGUAGGGGUUCUGAGAGGAAGGUCCCCCACACUGGAACUGAGACACGGUCCAGACUCCUACGGGAGGCAGCAGUGAGGAAUAUUGGUCAAUGGGCGUAAGCCUGAACCAGCCAAGUAGCGUGCAGGAUGACGGCCCUAUGGGUUGUAAACUGCUUUUAUGCGGGGAUAAAGUGGCCCACGUGUGGGUUUUUGCAGGUACCGCAUGAAUAAGGACCGGCUAAUUCCGUG
rnacentral:rRNA from 1 species